GCCAGCAACAACUUAUUUGGAUUUAGAGUAACAGGAGACCCUAAAGCAGCUCAUUGUUAAAGCAGCUCAAAACAGGCAGAACUGAGCAGACUAAAAUCACAUU